rnacentral:rRNA from 1 species
GCAGCUUGCUGCCGGGGUGAGAGUGGCGAACGGGUGAGUAAUGCGUGACCGACCUGCCCCAUGCACCGGAAUAGCUCCUGGAAACGGGUGGUAAUGCCGGAUGUUCCACAUGAGCGCAUGCGAGUGUGGGAAAGGCUUUUUGCGGCAUGGGAUGGGGUCGCGUCCUAUCAGCUUGUUGGUGGGGUAACGGCCUACCAAGGCGUUGACGGGUAGCCGGCCUGAGAGGGCGACCGGCCACAUUGGGACUGAGAUACGGCCCAGACUCCUACGGGAGGCAGCAGUGGGGAAUAUUGCACAAUGGGCGCAAGCCUGAUGCAGCGACGCCGCGUGCGGGAUGGAGGCCUUCGGGUUGUAAACCGCUUUUGUUCAAGGGCAAGGCACGGUUUCGGCCGUGUUGAGUGGAUUGUUCGAAUAAGCACCGGCUAACUACGUGCCAGCAGCCGCGGUAAUACGUAGGGUGCAAGCGUUAUCCGGAUUUAUUGGGCGUAAAGGGCUCGUAGGCGGUUCGUCGCGUCCGGUGUGAAAGUCCAUCGCUUAACGGUGGAUCCGCGCCGGGUACGGGCGGGCUUGAGUGCGGUAGGGGAGACUGGAAUUCCCGGUGUAACGGUGGAAUGUGUAGAUAUCGGGAAGAACACCAAUGGCGAAGGCAGGUCUCUGGGCCGUUACUGACGCUGAGGAGCGAAAGCGUGGGGAGCGAACAGGAUUAGAUACCCUGGUAGUCCACGCCGUAAACGGUGGAUGCUGGAUGUGGGGCCCUUUU